rnacentral:rRNA from 1 species
UACGUAGGGUGCAGGCGUUAAUCGGAAUUACUGGGCGUAAAGCGUGCGCAGGCGGCUCCUUAAGUCAGAUGUGAAAGCCCCCGGGCUUAAACCUGGGAACUGCGUUUGAAACUGGGGAGCUGGAGUGUAGAAGAGGGGGGUGGAAUUCCAGGUGUAGCAGUGAAAUGCGUAGAUAUCUGGAGGAACACCGAUGGCGAAGGCAGCCCCCUGGGCUAACACUGACGCUCAUGCACGAAAGCG